rnacentral:rRNA from 1 species
CACACUGGAACUGAGACACGGUCCAGACUCCUACGGGAGGCAGCAGUGGGGAAUAUUGCACAAUGGGCGAAAGCCUGAUGCAGCCAUGCCGCGUGUAUGAAGAAGGCCUUCGGGUUGUAAAGUACUUUCAGUUGUGAGGAAGGGUGUGUAGUUAAUAGCUGCGCAUCUUGACGUUAGCAACAGAAGAAGCACCGGCUAACUCCGUGCCAGCAGCCGCGGUAAUACGGAGGGUGCGAGCGUUAAUCGGAAUUACUGGGCGUAAAGCGCAUGCAGGUGGUUCAUUAAGUCAGAUGUGAAAGCCCGGGGCUCAACCUCGGAACUGCAUUUGAAACUGGUGAACUAGAGUGCUGUAGAGGGGGGUAGAAUUUCAGGUGUAGCGGUGAAAUGCGUAGAGAUCUGAAGGAAUACCAGUGGCGAAGGCGGCCCCCUGGACAGACACUGACACUCAGAUGCGAAAGCGUGGGGAGCAAACAGGAUUAGAUACCCUGGUAGUCCACGCCGUAAACGAUGUCUACUUGGAGGUUGUGGCCUUGAGCCGUGGCUUUCGGAGCUAACGCGUUAAGUAGACCGCCUGGGGAGUACGGUCGCAAGAUUAAAACUCAAAUGAAUUGA